GUUUUGUUUUUGCUUUUAUCUCCUUGCCAUGGUCUGAAGAAGCCAUAUUGUUGUAAGGUUGAUGACAAAUGAGGUCAUGGCCUGUUUCAGUAUGAAGUGGGGGAAGGGGAAGCUUGCCUUCACCAAGAUCAAUCUGUACACUGUUGUCACAGAGAGUGUCCAGAAAACAUCAAAAGAGACGGGGCAAAUAUUGCAGCGGCCACCGCCUUUUGUGUAAAAUAUGCCCCAGCAGAGCCGUCGCAAGGAGGGUGAGAGGCCCUGUGCAAAGUUGACAUGCGAGGCCCUCUACAAUUUUGCGUGUGUGUGUGUGUGUGUGGUGGGGGAGGUUGCUGUAGUAAGGCAAGGCAAGUUUAUUUAUAUAGCAGAUUUCGUACACAAUGGUAAUUCAAAGUGCUUUACAUAAAAUAAAGUAAAAU
ensembl:lncRNA